UACGGAGGGUGCAAGCGUUAUCCGGAUUUACUGGGUUUAAAGGGUGUGUAGGCGGGCUUUUAAGUCAGUGGUGAAAUCUCCGGGCUCAACCUGGAAACUGCCAUUGAUACUAUUAGUCUUGAAUUUUUGUUGAGGCAGGCGGAAUAAGUCAUGUAGCGGUGAAAAUGCAUAGAUAUGACUUAGAACACCAAUUGCGAAGGCAGCUUGCUAAACAAAUAUUGACGCUGAGGCACGAAAGCGUGGGGGAUCAAACAGG
rnacentral:rRNA from 1 species